AUUGAACGCUGGCGGCAGGCUUAACACAUGCAAGUCGAGCGGGGUGAUGGUGCUUGCACUAUCACUUAGCGGCGGACGGGUGAGUAAUGCUUAGGAAUCUGCCUAUUAGUGGGGGACAACAUCUCGAAAGGGAUGCUAAUACCGCAUACGUCCUACGGGAGAAAGCAGGGGAUCACUUGUGACCUUGCGCUAAUAGAUGAGCCUAAGUCGGAUUAGCUAGUUGGUGGGGUAAAGGCCUACCAAGGCGACGAUCUGUAGCGGGUCUGAGAGGAUGGUCCGCCACACUGGGACGGAGACACGGCCCAGACUCCUACGGGAGGCAGUAGUGGGGAAUAUUGGACAAUGGGGGGAACCCUGAUCCAGCCAUGACGCGUGUGUGAAGAAGGCCUUAUGGUUGUAAAGCACUUUAAGCGAGGAGGAGGCUCUUUUGGUUAAUACCCAAGAUGAGUGGACGUUACUCGCAGAAUAAGCACCGGCUAACUCUGUGCCAGCCGCCGCGGUAA
rnacentral:rRNA from 1 species